GGGGUGGUAGUUAAGCUGGUUUAUAACGCCGGCCUGUCACGCCGGAGGCCGCGGGUUCGAAUCCCGUCCAUCCCGCCA
rnacentral:tRNA from 1 species